AGCUCCAAUAGCGUAUAUUAAAGUUGUUGCGGUUAAAAAGCUCGUAGUUGGAAUUUUGGCGGGGAAUGAUGGUCCGCCCUUUGUGGUGAGCAGUCAUCACUACUUCGUCAUUUGCUUGGGGAUUGCAGGGCACUUCAUUGUGUGCUGCAUUGUCCAGGACAUUUACUUUGAGGAAAUAAGAGUGUUUCAAGCAGGUUAUAGCCAUGAAUAUGUUAGCAUGGAAUGAUAGCAUCGGACUUCGAUCUGACGCUGUUGGUUGAGUUGAUCGAAGUAAAGGUGAAUAGGGAUUGUUGGGGGCAUUCGUAUUUGACUGUCAGAGGUGAGAUUCUUGGAUUUGUUGAAGACGGACUACUGCGAAAGCAUCUGCCAGAGAUGUUC
rnacentral:rRNA from 1 species